AACGCGAAGAACCUUACCUGCUCUUGACAUCCUGCGAACUGGCCAGAGAUGGCCGGGUGCCGAAAGGAACGCAGAGACAGGUGCUGCAUGGCUGUCGUCAGCUCGUGUUGUGAGAUGUUGGGUUAAGUCCCGUAACGAGCGCAACCCUUGCCCUUAGUUGCCAGCGAGUAAAGUUGGGGACUCUAAGGGGACUGCCGGUGAAGAACCGGAGGAAGGCGGGGACGACGUCAAGUCAUCAUGGCCUUUAUGGGCAGGGCAACACACGUGCUACAAUGGGGCGCACAGAGGGCUGCGAACCCGCGAGGGGGAGCCAAUCCCAGAAAACGCCUCGUAGUCCGGAUUGGGGCCUGCAACUCGGCCCCAUGAAGUUGGAAUCGCUAGUAAUCGCGGAUCAGCAUUGCCGCGGUGAUACGUUCCCGGGCCUUGUACACACCGAGUAUA
rnacentral:rRNA from 1 species